rnacentral:misc_RNA from 1 species
GCCCAUAGUGUUCAUCAUUCAAGAUCUGUCCUUUUGAGGAGACUUCAUUCCUUACUAUUGUCUUCUUUUUUUUGAUGAUUUCUUAUGUGAGAUGUUGAAAACUGGAAAGAAGUGAUAAAGUUAGGAGGUUUGGUUUCUGGGGUUUGUUUAUUUUGCUCUACAAGGGUUAAAGAUUGGAUCUUUUUUAGUUUUGGUAGAUACCCAUG